rnacentral:rRNA from 1 species
GAUGAACGCUGGCGGCGUGCCUAGUACAUGCAAGUCGAGCGAACAGACAAGGAGCUUGCUCCUUUGACGUUAGCGGCGGACGGGUGAGUAACACGUGGGUAACCUACCUAUAAGACUGGGAUAACUUCGGGAAACCGGAGCUAAUACCGGAUAAUAUUUCGAACCGCAUGGUUCGAUAGUGAAAGAUGGUUUUGCUAUCACUUAUAGAUGGACCCGCGCCGUAUUAGCUAGUUGGUAAGGUAACGGCUUACCAAGGCGACGAUACGUAGCCGACCUGAGAGGGUGAUCGGCCACACUGGAACUGAGACACGGUCCAGACUCCUACGGGAGGCAGCAGUAGGGAAUCUUCCGCAAUGGGCGAAAGCCUGACGGAGCAACGCCGCGUGAGUGAUGAAGGUCUUCGGAUCGUAAAACUCUGUUAUUAGGGAAGAACAUACGUGUAAGUAACUAUGCACGUCUUGACGGUACCUAAUCAGAAAGCCACGGCUAACUACGUGCCAGCAGCCGCGGUAAUACGUAGGUGGCAAGCGUUAUCCGGAAUUAUUGGGCGUAAAGCGCGCGUAGGCGGUUUUUUAAGUCUGAUGUGAAAGCCCACGGCUCAACCGUGGAGGGUCAUUGGAAACUGUAAAACUUGAGUGCAGAAGAGGAAAGUGGAAUUCCAUGUGUAGCGGUGAAAUGCGCAGAGAUAUGGAGGAACACCAGUGGCGAAGGCGACUUUCUGGUCUGUAACUGACGCUGAUGUGCGAAAGCGUGGGGAUCAAACAGGAUUAGAUACCCUGGUAGUCCACGCCGUAAACGAUGAGUGCUAAGUGUUAGGGGGUUUCCGCCCCUUAGUGCUGCAGCUAACGCAUUAAGCACUCCACCUGGGGAGUACGACCGCAAGGUUGAAACUCAAAGGAAUUGACGGGGACCCGCACAAGCGGUGGAGCAUGUGGUUUAAUUCGAAGCAACGCGAAGAACCUUACCAAAUCUUGACAUCCUUUGACAACUCUAGAGAUAGAGCCUUCCCCUUCGGGGGACAAAGUGACAGGUGGUGCAUGGUUGUCGUCAGCUCGUGUCGUGAGAUGUUGGGUUAAGUCCCGCAACGAGCGCAACCCUUAAGCUUAGUUGCCAUCAUUAAGUUGGGCACUCUAAGUUGACUGCCGGUGACAAACCGGAGGAAGGUGGGGAUGACGUCAAAUCAUCAUGCCCCUUAUGAUUUGGGCUACACACGUGCUACAAUGGACAAUACAAAGGGCAGCGAAACCGCGAGGUCAAGCAAAUCCCAUAAAGUUGUUCUCAGUUCGGAUUGUAGUCUGCAACUCGACUACAUGAAGCUGGAAUCGCUAGUAAUCGUAGAUCAGCAUGCUACGGUGAAUACGUUCCCGGGUCU